rnacentral:rRNA from 1 species
UACGUAGGGUGCGAGCGUUAAUCGGAAUUACUGGGCGUAAAGCGUGCGCAGGCGGUUUUGUAAGCCAGAUGUGAAAUCCCCGGGCUUAACCUGGGAAUGGCAUUUGGGACUGCAAGGCUGGAGUGCGGCAGAGGAGACUGGAAUUCCUGGUGUAGCAGUGAAAUGCGUAGAUAUCAGGAGGAAUACCGAUGGCGAAGGCAGGUCUCUGGGCUGACACUGACACUGAGAGACGAAAGCUAGGGGAGCGAAUGGG